rnacentral:snRNA from 1 species
UAACUCUGGAUUCUCCUCAUUUGCGGAUAAAUUUUUCGUCUUUUACUAAGGAUUUCCGUGAGGAGGCACAAUACAAUCAAUGUUAUGUCACUUUUUUCAGCUCUGUCUUCUGACAGAUU